UACGUAGGGACCAAGCGUUGUUCGGAUUUACUGGGCGUAAAGGGCGCGUAGGCGGCAUGACAAGUCACUUGUGAAAUCUCUGGCUUAACCCAGAACGGCCAAGUGAUACUGUCGCGCUAGAGUGCGGAAGGGCAAUCGGAAUUCUUGGUGUAGCGGUGAAAUGCGUAGAUAUCGAAGAGGAACACCUGAGGUGAAGACGGUUGCUGGGCCGACACUGAC
rnacentral:rRNA from 1 species